UGUUUUUUAUUUGUAUUGUAUUAUUUUUUUAAUAAAUAAACCAAAUUAAAUGCAAUUAAUGACUUAUGUCACACUUCAGGUAGUUUAUAGUUUAUAGUCAAUAUUAGGUCACACUUCUUUUAAUAAAGACUAAGUCAAUUACCUACAAAGCAACAAUAUACAAAAUGAUAUGAUUUAAAAAUAAAGUGUAUCGAAUUGUUCAUAAAAAGUCGGACUUUUGUCCGCAAUGUCCAACAGUCAGAAAGUCGUCCCCUCAGUAACGGAUGAAUUCAUCUGUAAAUAACAAUUUUAGUAAGUGUCAACGUUUAUAGUAAAUCAUAUGUAAAUAAUACAUGUCGGUGUUUAUAUGUAAAUAACAAUAUAUAAAUAAUACAUGUCAGUGUUUGUCUGUAAAUGGUAAAUGGGUUGUUCUUGUAUAGCGCUUUUCUACCCCUUUUUAAGGAGCCCAAAGCGCUUUGACAGUAUUUCCACAUUCGCCUAUUCACACACACAUUCACACACUGAUGGUGGGAGCUGCCAUGCAAGACGCUCACCAGGACCCAUCAGGAGCAAGGGUGAAGUGUCUUGCCCAAGGACACCACGGACGUGACUAGGAUGGUAGAAGGUGGGGAUUGAACCAGCAACCCUCAGACGUGAACCCAACAUCUGAAGUUAAGGAGAAGCUUCCUCAGCAAAUGUCCAGCCCCUAACAACAUCUCGGGAAGAAACCAGACUCCAACUAUGGACACAAAGACUAGACAAAAAAACCCCCUCCUAUUGACGUGGGAAUCCCCCCUUCUGAAGAUCUGCCCCCCGGGGUCAGAGACACCAUGGAUCCAGUGGAAGACACAAAACCCGCCUGAGAACAAGAACAGGGCACUCAAAAAGCUGCUAUGGCCAAACGGGGCUCCAAAACCGGCCCAACCUGCGAAUGCGGAGACGAGGACCAUAUGUCUGUCCUCUGCUACCCCACCAAAAAAGAUCUGGCUGAGUUCAAGGACAAUGCAAAAGACUGCGUAAAGAAAUGGGAAACUGUUAUAUAACCACAUGCUUCAAAGACACGAAAAGAAAACGAAGAUCUAAAAAGUUUUUGGGCUGGAAAAGGGCCUCAUCACAAUGAAACGAGAAUGUGCUGCUCUUGUUUGGACUUUGAGUACAUUUCCACUGAGUCAGACUGUUGGAACCUGAAAACAUGACAACAACGUCAAGCUUGACCACUUGAAGCACCCGUCAGGCCACACACACACACACACUGACUGAAGCUGGUGUUUACCUUCUGUGUAUUUAACACACACACACACACUGACUGAAGCUGGUGUUUACCUUCUGUGUAUUUAACACAUGCACACACACACACACACAGACACGAUGAGCCUCUUUAAAGGAGGUAAAAAUAGACAUAAAGAUCACUUUGACGUCUUCCUCAAAUUGUCUUUCAUACAGAGAGAAAAGCGUCUGACUCCGCCCACUCUCUCGACUGUCAAUUAUCCGAGGAUCACGCUGGCACUCCCUGUAUGACAUCAUGGACCAAAACAGGAAACACUUGAUGAGGAGGCACAGCCCCAGCAGCGCGACGGCGCAAAGGCAGGAGACGUGCAGCGGGAGGAGCCGCGUGGGCGGAGCUAUCUGCGGCAUCUCGCAGUGGACGCCGGUCCAGCCGUGGUAGCACUGGCAGGAGAACUUGUGCUUCAUGUCCAGGAGGUCCCGCUCGUCCAGGCCGCCGCUGACACGGAAGCUGGCGCCGGCGGCCGUCGGCCAGCGGCGGAUGUGGAAGAAGCCCGGGUUGAGGUGCAGGUAAGCGGCCGAGUCCAGGCUCUUGCGAACGCAGCGGCCGUUUUUCUUGCACAGAGCUUUGCUGCACAGCUUGGCGGCCGACGUGACGUUGACCACGUAAUGGCCGAGCGGGCCGUCGAUGUACUUCUUCACCGUCAAACAGUUCCUCUGCAGGCACAAGCACCACUUUACACUUCAUCACAUUGUUCUAGGAGUCUAAACAGAGGAACAAAAGGUGCCAAAAAUGGAACAGACUCCUUUUUUGGAGAAUUUUUGUGGUCACAAAAUGGUCCGAUCGUCUCAGAGACAACCCGUCAUUAUCACGUCUUCUUUGCUCUCCCAAACCUCAACUAAAGUCAGGUCUUUUUUGAA